rnacentral:rRNA from 1 species
CCUACGGGAGGCAGCAGUGGGGAAUAUUGCGCAAUGGGCGAAAGCCUGACGCAGCGACGCCGCGUGAGGGAUGAAGGUCUUCGGAUCGUAAACCUCUGUCAGUAGGGAAGAACGGUCACUGUGCUAUUCAGCAGUGAAUUGACGGUACCUACAAAGAAAGUCCCGGCUAACUCCGUGCCAGCAGCCGCGGUAAUACGGAGGGGGCGAGCGUUGAUCGGAUUUAUUGGGCGUAAAGCGCGCGUAGGCGGUUUGUUAAGUCUGGGGUGAAAGCCCUGGGCUCAACCGGGGAACUGCCUUUGAAACUGGCAAACUUGAGUGUGUGAGAGGAGAGUGGAAUUCCAGGUGUAGGAGUGAAAUGCGUAGAUAUCUGGAAGAACAGCAGUGGCGAAGGCGACUCUCUGGCCCAACACUGACGCUGAGGAGCGAAAGCGUGGGUAGCGAACAGGAUUAGAUACCCUGGUAGUC